rnacentral:rRNA from 1 species
AUGGACGCCGCCACCGACGGCGAGCAGCGGCGCCUCCUCUCCAUCCCCAAGGAGGGCGAGCGCGUCAUCGCGCCGACGCGCCGCCCGGACGGAACCCUCCGCAAGGAGAUCCGCAUCCGCGCCGGCUACGUCCCGCAGGACGAGGUCGCCAUCUAUCAGUCCAAGGGCGCCCUCAUGAAGAAGUCAGGGCCCGACGUGACGCCGGGGUACGACCCUGCGCUCGAUGCCAAGCCCAAGACGAAGGCGGCCAAGCGCAACGAGCGGCGCAAGGAGAAACGGCACCAGCAGGGUGGUUCAACAAAUGAUAAAGGGAAGAGCUUGGAUAUAGAGGCUGAUGCUGGAGAACCUGACAAGGUUCAUUCUUCCAAAACUAAGCAGAGGAAUACAGUGGACAGUAUAACAGAGCAGAUAAGUGGCAUUGCUAUUUCUGAAUCUCCAGCUACGGCAACCCCUUCCACAAAUGCUGCCAACAACUUACAAACAGAGUCAUCUGUUACAGAGAUAGAUAAGAAAAUCCGAGCACUGAAGAAAAAGAUACGCUUAGCUGAAGCCCAAGUGCAAGGGGACCCAGAAAAAUUGAAACCUGAGCAACUGGAGAAAACAAAAAAGAUUGAAGGAUGGCGUGAAGAGCUGAAGCUUUUGGAGUCUACAAGGGGUCAUGCUGCUUCGUAG